CCCUUAUCCUUGUUUGCCAGCGAGUAAUGUCGGGAACUCCAGGGAGACUGCCGGUGAUAAACCGGAGGAAGGUGGGGACGACGUCAAGUCAUCAUGGCCCUUACGAGUAGGGCUACACACGUGCUACAAUGGCGCAUACAGAGGGCGGCCAACUUGCGAAAGUGAGCGAAUCCCAAAAAGUGCGUCGUAGUCCGGAUUGGAGUCUGCAACUCGACUCCAUGAAGUCGGAAUCGCUAGUAAUCGUGGAUCAGAAUGCCAC
rnacentral:rRNA from 1 species